rnacentral:rRNA from 1 species
CAGCCGCCACGGUAAUACGUAGGUGGCAAGCGUUGUCCGGAAUUAUUGGGCGUAAAGGGCUCGCAGGCGGUUUCUUAAGUCUGAUGUGAAAGCCCCCGGCUCAACCGGGGAGGGUCAUUGGAAACUGGGAAACUUGAGUGCAGAAGAGGAGAGUGGAAUUCCACGUGCAGCGGUGGAAUGCGUAGAGAUGUGGAGGAACACCAGUGGCGAAGGCGACUCUCUGGUCUGUAACUGACGCUGAGGAGCGAAAGCGUGGGGAGCGAACAGGAUUAGAUACCCGCGUAGUCCCUGUCUCUUAUAC